rnacentral:tRNA from 1 species
UGUUGGGAUAGCUCAUUUGGUAAAGC